GACACGGUGCCAGAGUGGUUAAUGGGUUAGACUUGAAUUUUCUCAUAUUUCAGUCAUCUAAUGGCUUCGGCCGCGCAGGUUCGAUCCCUGCCCGUGUCG